CCAAAAAGAAUAAACAUAUUUUUCAAGCUGAACAAUAAGACUUUGCAAGAUGAAUAUGAUUUGAUUCUCACCUUUUUAUUUCAAGAAUAAAAAAGAAAAGGAUAAGCAACAUCAAUUGGGUUUGGGGAACUUCUCUCAAACACUUGUUCCGCUUCUCUAUUUUCAAACCCUAACAAGAAUAGCAGAGAAAACCAUUGUCGCUUCCUCUUCUUACUCAGAUUUAGUCCAUUAUGGACUAGAUCUGAGUAGGAAUUCGUCAAUAGAGUUUAGUUCUUACCUUUUUAUCAUCAUUAUAUAAGUUUUUACCACUUUUUUGGUUUUUUCUCAAAACCCAAAAUCAAAAUUCCACCAUGAAUUUCUGCAUUUUCUCUAGCUAAACCUCAAUUCCACCGUUCCUUGAGAUGUUGCGAGUUAUAUUAGCUAAUAGAUAGUGGUUUGAUCAUGUUUCAUUCGCUGAUAUUUUGAUGGAAUAAUUACAAUUGUCCUGUUUUGGAUUUCUGCUGGAGAUUCCUAUUUGGGACCCUAGUCAUGUUAUUCAAAUCUCUUCGGCGUCGGUUGUAUUUCCUCAUCUUCAGCAACAUCCUAAUCAUGUGCCUGUUUCAUCAGUUUCAUUAUUAGUGGCAGUAACCUCGGUCUUCUCUAGAAAUCACCACCUGCUGAACCAAAACGGAGAAAACGGAGAUAGACAGUUAUUUUCCGGGAAGUUCAACUCAGCAUAUGGAUGCAAUCGCCUGACUAGCAGCUUCUACGAAGCGCAUCGAGCACCCCUACCAUCAACUAAACCCUUAUGGACUCUGUCGUGUCCAUCAAAAGGACAACUUUUCUUGUGGAAAGCAUUAAACGGAUGCCUUCUGACCUUUGGCUCCAACAUCUCCCCCGAUGCAAUUCUGAUCCGAAGACCGUUUCCCUCGCUCUGCCCCAUUGUUUUGCUAUUUCGGAUUCAUGUCGUAUCAUUACAAAUGUAACUGGUGAAUCUCUGGGUAUCAUAUACCACCGUGUAAUAGCCCUUUUAAGGUUUUCAAUAAAAUGCAUGCGUCAGAAAAAUGGAUUUGGGCAUUUA